rnacentral:rRNA from 1 species
AACGAACGCUGGCGGCAUGCCUAACACAUGCAAGUCGAACGAGACCUUCGGGUCUAGUGGCGCACGGGUGCGUAACGCGUGGGAACCUGCCCUUAGGUUCGGAAUAACUCCCCGAAAGGGGUGCUAAUACCGGAUAAUGUCUUCGGACCAAAGAUUUAUCGCCUUUGGAUGGGCCCGCGUUGGAUUAGCUAGUUGGUAGGGUAAAAGCCUACCACGGCGACGAUCCAUAGCUGGUCUGAGAGGAUGAUCAGCCACACUGGGACUGAGACACGGCCCAGACGCCUACGGGAGGCAGCAGUAGGGAAUAUUGGACAAUGGGCGAAAGCCUGAUCCAGCAAUGCCGCGUGAGUGAUGAAGGCCUUAGGGUUGUAAAGCUCUUUUACCCGGGAUGAUAAUGACAGUACCGGGAGAAUAAGCUCCGGCUAACUCCGUG